AUUGAACGCUGGCGGCAGGCCUAACACAUGCAAGUCGAGCGGAGCGGCGGACGGGCGAGUAAUGCCUAGGAAUCUGCCUGGUAGUGGGGGAUAAAUUCCGGAAACGGGCGCUAACACCUCAUACUUUCAGAUGGGUCUAGGUGGGAUUAGCUAGUUGGGGGGGUAAAGGCCUACCAAGGCGACGAUCUGUACCUGGCCUGAGAGGAUGAUCCGUCACACUGGAACUGAGACACGGUCCAGACUCCUACGGGAGGCAGCAGUGGGGAAUAUUGGACAAUGGGCGAAAGCCUGAUCCAGCCAUGCCGCGUGUGUGAAGAAGGUCUUCGGAUUGUAAAGCACUUUAAGUUGGGAGGCGGUACCAACAGAAGAAGCACCGGCUAACUACGUGCCAGCAGCCGCGGUAAUAC
rnacentral:rRNA from 1 species